ACAGCAUGCAGAUAAAGAACAACAGCUGCCACAAAUAGUUUCUGGGGUUUUUAAUGAAGGCUAGAUUUGAAUGCUACCCACAUCAAAUCCCCAGAACAUAAUUGGAACAGAACUACCUUGGAACUGAGGCACAACUGAACUAUCUUCCAUCCUACUCUGAGGUUGUGAGGUGUCUCAUUUUUCCUCAUAGACCUAUGGCAGGAAGCUCACCCUGUCUGCUGAUCUUUAUUUGAUACUGGGGGACAAUAUCAUGUUAUCAUCAACACAUUUACAACCGGGUCAAGUUCUUGUGAAUUUGCUGUCAAAUUUUCCAAUGUUAGAUAGCACAGUCAGCUGGCUAAUUCUCUGUGGCUGUUUAUGUUAGGUAGCUACUAAGCUAGUAAGUUAACGUACCUUCAUAAUUAUUGAUGUAAAUAGAGACGUACAUCUUGAAGCCUUUCUGUCUCUUACUCCUUGGUGCUGAUGUUGCAACGUGAAUGAUGCGAUGAACCUCACUGAUUUUUAUCUUGGGAAGACAUUGAAGAGAUCUCAUUUAGAAAGUAAUUGUUUUGUCUGGUACUGUGCGUCAGCAGUUAGCCCUACUUGGAUCGGUGUCGUUAAGCAGAAAUGCUUCUGCAUACCACCCUCAAACCACACGCAACUAGCCAAUUGGUUAAACCUCAGUUAACAUUCUUAACAUUUGAAUAUACAAUACAUAGAGAAAGGGUCUUCAAAGACUGCUUGACACUCUUCUGAGAGAAUGAUAACAGUGGGUUGUUUGAUUAGUGAUUUAAUUCAAAUCAUUUAAACACAAAUGAAUUAAUUUAAAUUCUGUGUAAAAACUUGAAUCUUAAUAGGUUAAAUAAUUAAAUGAAAUGGGAAAACCUCUGAAAUUACAUAAUUAACUAGAAAAUGCAUUUCCUGAAGGAAAUACCAGUGCAUGAAAUGCAAAAGUUAAGAAAGGAAGAAGAAAAGAAAGAAGAGUGGAAGAAGGAAAGAAGAGUGAAGAAAGGAAAGAAGAAAGGAAGAAGAGUGAAAGAAGGAAAAAAGAGUGGAAGAAGGAAAGAAGAGUGGAAGAAGGAAAGAAGAAAGGAAAGAAGAGUGGAAGAAGGAAAGAAAAAAGGACUGAAAAAAAAGUAGAGUAUGGAAGGUGUCUCUUAAUAUAUAACAGUUGAAUGGAGAGGGACAGAGAAGAGGAGCCUUGGAACCUGAAGAAGGAGGAAGAAGAGUGGAAGAAGGAAAGAAGAAAGGAAAGAAGAGUGAAGAAAGGAAAGAAGAGUGGAAGAAGGAAAGAAUAAAGGAAAGAAGAGUGAAGAAAGGAAAGAAGAAAAGAAAGAAGAGUGAAUGAAGGAAAGAAGAAAGGAAAGAAGAGUGAAGAAAGGAAAGAAGAGUGGAAGAUGAAAAGAAAGAAGGAAAGAAGAAAGGAAAGAAGAGUGAAGAAAGAAAAGAAGAGUAGAAGAAGGAAAGAAGAGUUGAAGAAGGAAAGAAGAAAGGAAAGGAGAGUGGGAGAAGGAAAGAAGAGUGGAAGAACGACAGAAGAAGAGUGGAAGAAGGAAAGAAUAAUAUUCCUAGUUAAACAGUUAAAUGGAAAGGGACAGAGAGAAGAGGAGCCUUGGAACCUUGGCGCAGGUGUCAGUGAAGCACAGGUGCAAGCCAGUUUAAAGACCCUAUUAUGAUGUCAUAAUGGCCCAAUGUAAG
ensembl:lncRNA